CGCCUCCUGAUUACCCAUAGGAGGUCCAGCCUGCCCAGUGACUAAGUUAAACGGCCGCGGUACCCUAACCGUGCAAAGGUAGCGCAAUCACUUGUUCUUUAAAUGAGGACUAGUAUGAACGGCAUCACGAGGGUUAUGCUGUCUCCCUACUCUACUCAGUGAAACUGAUCUCCCCGUGAAGAAGCGGGGAUAAAGAUAUAAGACGAGAAGACCCCAUGGAGCUUUAAACUCAGUGCCAACUGCCCUAAUAAUAGCCUAUUACCUUUGCAGCCAUGAUUACUAGUUUUCGGUUGGGGUGACCACGGAGUAAAAUUUAACCUCCACGAUGAAAGGAACUAAUAUCCUAACCUAUGAGCUACAGCUCUAAGUAUCAACAAAUUGACUAAUUGACCCAAUUACUUGAUCAACGAACCAAGUUACCCUGGGGAUAACAGCGCAAUCCAUUUCAAGAGCUCAUAUCGACAAAUGGGUUUACGACCUCGAUGUUGGAUCAGGGUAUCCCAGUGGCGCAGCCGCUACUAAUGGUUCGUUUGUUCAACGAUUAAAACCCU
rnacentral:rRNA from 1 species